rnacentral:tRNA from 1 species
GCACCUGUAGCUCAACUGGAUAGAGCGUCGGACUUCGGAUCCGAAGGUUGUGGGUUCGAACCCCGCUAGGUGCGCCA